CACCUUUACAUAAAUCUAAUAUUUCAAGAUAUUUUAAUGGUUGACAGACCAAUUGAAGAAAAGCUGUAAAUUUGAUAAAAUUUGUGACAGAGUGUUCUUCUUCAAGAUGACUUCAGAGAAUAUUUGUAUGUCUGUUCAAAGUAUAUACAGUUUUACAUUUGUUCAUUGGGUAGUCAACAAGAUUGAGAUCAGUAAAUCACAUAUAAACCAUUAUUCCAUGCAUUUUUGAGGGUGCUCUGAAUGUAGUAAUCAAAUAUGUUCCUCAUUUUGUCAUAUCUGUACUUUCUAGUUAUUUUCAGAUUGUUGAGAAAUGAUUUUAUAUGACAUGCUUUCUUCAAAAUGAUAGAUUAAAAUAUUUAUUUAUGUAUGUCUUUUAGAUGAAGAAUGGUUAGGACACUUCUUAGUAUUGCACAUGAAUUGGUCCCUUUCACUAGAUUAUUACUUUGGGGCAAAUUUUUUACUAUUAUUUUUAAAAAGAGUAAUUUAUUUUAAUCCAACCUUUCUAGAUAUUUAGAUAUUAUUGAAAUGCAUAUUUUUAUAAAGUUGUCUUUAUGAGAAUUCUUAAGCUAGAAACAUCUUCUGCCAAUGAAAUUUUUGGGAGCUUUCCUGGACAUCACUGGGUGGUAAUAAAGAGACCAUGUUUUCAUUGCUCUGUAUAUAAUAGUAAAACUUUUGUUUUUGUAACACUCCAUCUUAAUAGAAUGGGAAUAUUUUAUCUUGCUAACAUAAUUAUUAGCUGGCCACUCUCUAUGUCCAUUGGACCUUACAGGAGGAAGGCAGAGAGAAGUGCAUGUUUGAAGUUUGUGCACGUUAACACAUGAAGGACUUGGUAACAUCCAUUUUUCCCAGUCUGCACAGAGCAGGCGAUACUCAUGCUUCAUAAAUGAUUUGUUAAGCUAGAUUCUUUCUCUGUGUGUAUGGUGUAUAUGUACAUAUAGGUGCAUCUAUAUAUGUACAUGCAUUUUUUUUCUUAAAAUAUUAUGUUUCCUCUUUUUUUUUCUGCCCUUGACUAAACUCAAAUAUCAGCUCCAGAGAAUGAGCUGACAACUUAUUUCCCAAUCAGUGGUUCUCAAUUCCUACCUAUGGUAUCUCGGAUACUUUUGCAGAUAUGAAUGUAUAUGGGCAAGGAACUUCAUAUUUAUAAGAAAUUAGGCCUAGGAUGGAUAGGAGUUGAUAGAUCUUGCUCUUCUUAAGUUUGAUGACAUUUGUUUUCAGCUAAACAGCAUUCAAAACUCAUCCCAAUUAUCAGAUGAGUGUGAGUAUUGUAAUGGUGAAUUAACAGCUGACUGAUCAUAGCAGGUCUUCCUAAAUGGGGGAUCUGUCCUCCACAAUCCCAUCUCAAAACUGAAUCUGAUUCUAUGAGACCAUUAUGUCUCAGCUUUUUAUUUGAGUGAUUGAUUCAUCCAAUGGACUUUUAAUUUCCUGUGGCCAGAUAUUUUUCAGUUCAUUUUUUGUGGCACAAGCACCUUGUGGAUUGCCUAUCAUAGAAUAGGUUCCUAGUAAACUUUUAUAGAGAUAAGAUAUAUGAGGAGAUUAUUUUGAGUGAUUUUUGUGAGUAACCUGGCCAACUAAGCAGCAGAAGAUAAAUAAUUUUUAAUGAGCAAGAGACAUAAUUUUCAGUGGGAUUCAGGCAGUUUAGUCAGGUUUGGAAGUGCACAAGAGAGAAGGGUGCUGAUAUGCAGAUAUUGAAAUGCAUAGUUAUGGAACAGAUAGUUACAGUUUCAGAGCUGGGUGAGUAAGGGGCAGCUUCCAACUUAAAUCAAUAUGAAAGAAUAGUAAAGAGAGAAUUCCCAGAUUCUAGCUGCAUUGCCUUUUUCAUUGGAAGUGGUGUUUCUCAUUUUUUUUUUUUUUACCUCAGAAGAUAAUUUCCUGGGAGUGAAUGAUACCAGUAAAUCCCUGAAACAAGUCCCUCAGACAAAGAGCCUCUUCACCUACAUAUUUUCCAAGAGUCACCCCUGAAGGUGAUGACCACACAGAUGAGGUGGAUUUGUUACAGUUGGUGCCAUUACUUCUACCACCAGCUUCACCAAAACAAUGACACAGUCUUCCUUGUGCAUGGAGAUUCUUCUCUUUCCUGUGUUGCAGUGGAUACCUCCUGCAGAUAAGAAAUGCUUAACUGAGAAAUGCUCAUGUUGGGAUAUCAUCGAUGAGACUUUAAUUUGGGCGUGGUGACUGUUUCCCUUGCUGCCACUUGACUCAAUCCCAGGAGCCUCAGUAGAGGAAAUAAUAUUACACAAGAUGCUCAAAAUGGUAGAAUUGCUCAGUGCUCCCAUAAAUAUACAUUAGUAAUUUUCAUUUGUCACAUGGUAAAUUUAAAAGUAUAGGAUACAUUAUAAAGAAACACUGCAUCUUUUUUUAAAAAAAAUUCAAAGUAUAUUUAAAUAACUAAUAUAUAAAUUAAGUGCCCUCCUCUAUUCCAAUUCUGUCCCUAUAGUUUUCCUCUAUUAAGGGAGUUAUGUGCAUUCUUUUAUCAGAUAGAUGCACACAAACAAUGCACAAGCUAUUUUGGGGGGAAUCUGGAAGUGUGGCCAUAUUGUAACGCAUUCUUCUGCAAAUUGCCUCUUUCAUUUAACAGUCUUUUCAAUGGCCUUUUUUUCAGUAAUAUAUACACAUCUGUGUCCUUUGUUGAAUGAUGGCAUGACUGUUUUGUAGAUAAAAUAUAAUUAAAUGUUUUAAGCAUUUCUCAUUCAUAGAUAUUUAUGUUAGCACCAAAUUUCUGUGCAGUGAACCUCCCUAUAUAUCAAUAAUUUUGCAUUUGUCUAUUAUAUAACAAAUUACUUAGAAGUU